rnacentral:ncRNA from 1 species
CGACUCCCUCCCGGCAAAGGCUAACCACCAGUCGGAAGCAAGUCUUGCAUGGGGGACGGUAACGUACUUCGUGAAGCGUAGACAGCGGGUGCUGAAGCCGCGUGAUUGAGUCUCGAAAUACCUUUGUCGCUGGUGUCUUCGCCUUUGUUAUAGCGGGGGCAGUACCCAUGCGGUUAUACACAUCUCUGAUCUGACCACCGGCGGCCAUAAAAAG